rnacentral:rRNA from 1 species
AUUGAACGCUGGCGACAGGCCUUACACAUGCAAGUCGAGCGGCUGAACGGGGCUUGCCCCUUGAUUCCGCGUCGCGCGCGGGUGUGAUGUCUAGGAAAAUACCUGCUAGUGUGGGAGAACGUCCGGCGAAGGCCGCUAUUACCGCACACGCCAUGAGCGGGUAAGAGGGGGGUCUUUGCACCCCUCGCUCUCUGGUGAUCCUAGGUGGGGGAUUAGCUAGUUGGGGGGGUAAAGGCCUACCAAGGCGACGAUCAGUAGCUGGUCUGAGAGGAUGAUCAGUCACACUGGAACUGAGACACGGUCCAGACUCCUACGGGAGGCAGCAGUGGGGAAUUUUGGACAAUGGGCGAAAGCCUGAUCCAGCCAUGCCGCGUGUGUGAAGAAGGCCUUCGGAUUGUAAAGCACUUUUGGUUGGGAAGAAAGGCAGGAAGUUAAUACCUUCGGGGGUUGACGGUACCAAAAGAAUAAGCACCGGCUAACUACGUG